rnacentral:rRNA from 1 species
UACGUAGGGUGCAAGCGUUGUCCGGAAUUAUUGGGCGUAAAGAGCUUGUAGGCGGUUUGUCGCGUCUGCUGUGAAAUUUCGGGGCUCAACCCCGGACUUGCAGUGGGUACGGGCAGACUAGAGUGUGGUAGAGGAGACUGGAAUUCCUGGUGUAGCGGUGAAAUGCGCAGAUAUCAGGAGGAACACCGAUGGCGAAGGCAGGUCUCUGGGCCACUACUGACGCUGAGAAGCGAAAGCAUGGGGAGCGAACAGG